CAUGGCUCAGGCACAGCAGUUGGGCGAGACGAGUGCUCACCUCCACCACUGGUUUCCUGUGUAUUUUGGGUUUAGGCCCUGCCAGUGUGUCCCAGACACCGCUGUGGCUCCGCUCCCUGAAGGAGGCACCACUCUGAGGUGGGAGUUCUGCAGGAGGGAGGAGUGAAGGAUUCCAGGAAGGAGUUCUGCAGCUUCUCACAGAGUUAGACCAGCUCAGCCAUUGAUCUGAAAGCAAUCGAAACCAAACAAAACCUUGUGAUGCUGGCCUCAGAGUGCCUCUCCAGGAAGCAGCUUGAGAUGGAGACACAAAUUUACCUUAAUCCCAUGAAGAAAACAAAGAAGCAGAAAUUAC
rnacentral:lncRNA from 1 species